rnacentral:pre_miRNA from 1 species
UGGCUACAAAAUAACUUAUUUUUUAGCCACUUUGAGUUACGAUAAUUACUAUAUUAAUUUAUAAGAUUAUAGUAACUCCUUACUAAGUGGUUUACUAUAACAUUAUGGUAAAUAUCCUAUGUGUUAUAGUAACCCAACUAUCGUAAAUAUGUAUACAUAUUAUCGUAAAUUAGUACAUAAAAUUAUCGUAAAUGGAGGUGGCUACAGAAUAAUAUAUUUUGUAGCUA